CCUGAGCCAGAGACUUCACACUCACACUGGGCUUGACUGACAGAUGGCCAGGUUGAACUACAUUUCCCAGCAGGCCGUGGGGCCAGAGCUCAAAGCCCUAAAGAGGUUUAAGUUCAGAGGAUCAAACGACAGCUGGAGACCGAAACACAGCAGAGAGAGCGACAGCCGACAUGCCUCUCAAACGAGAAGAUACGGAGCGAGCGCUGCAGGCGAUGGAAGCCUGUCAAUCAGCAGGUGAUGAAGGUUUCAGGAGUCGUGCUGAAAGACUCUUGACCAUCUUUCAGAGUGACCUGUUUCAGGCUCUGCUGGAUAUUCAGGAGUUUUAUGAGCUGACAGUGUUUGAGAAUCAGACGCUCACACCGGGACUGGUGAGUGUG